rnacentral:rRNA from 1 species
GAUGAACGCUGGCGGCGUGCCUAAUACAUGCAAGUCGAACGAGGCCCAAUGUACUUGUACAGAGGUGUCCUAGUGGCGAACGGGUGAGUAACGCGUUGGUGACCUGCCCCGAAGUGGGGGAUAACAGUUCGAAAGGGCUGCUAAUACCCCAUGUGACUGUGAGAGUUAGAGGUCUCACUAUCAAAGGAGUAAUCCGCUUCGGGAGGGGCCUGCGUCCCAUCAGCUAGUUGGUAAGGUAAUGGCUUACCAAGGCUUAGACGGGUAGGGGACCUGAGAGGGUGACCCCCCACACUGGAACUGAAACACGGUCCAGACACCUACGGGUGGCAGCAGUAGGGAAUAUUGCACAAUGGGCGAAAGCCUGAUGCAGCAACGCCGCGUGCACGAUGAAGGCCUUCGGGUUGUAAAGUGCUUUUAUGAGGGAAGAGAAAGGACUGUACCUCAUGAAUAAGGAUCGGCUAACUACGUGCCAGCAGCCGCGGUAACACGUAGGAUCCGAGCGUUAUCCGGAUUUACUGGGCGUAAAGCGCGUGCAGGUGGUUCAUUAAGUUGGAUGUUAAAUCUCCCGGCUUAACUGGGAGUUGUCGUUCAAAACUGGUGGACUAGAGGACGGUAGAGGAAGGUGGAAUUCCGGGUGUAGUGGUGAAAUGCGUAGAUAUCCGGAGGAACAUCAGUGGCGAAAGGCGACCUUCUGGACCGCUCCUGACACUCCAACGCGAAAGCUAGGGGAGCAAACGGGAUUAGAAACCCCGGUAGUCCUAGCUGUAAACGAUGUGAACUUGGUGUCGGUGGGGUAAAACCUAUCGGUGCCGAAGCCAACGCGAUAAGUUCACCGCCUGGGGACUACGGCCGCAAGGUUAAAACUCAAAGGAAUUGACGGGUGCCCGCACAAGCAGCGGAGCGUGUGGUUUAAUUCGAUGCUACACGAAGAACCUUACCUGGGUUUGACAUAUACGUGGUAGAGAACGGAAACGGGAUCGACCCUUCGGGGAGCGUAUACAGGUGCUGCAUGGCUGUCGUCAGCUCGUGUCGUGAGAUGUCCGGUUAAGUCCGGUAACGAGCGCAACCCCUGCUGUAUGUUACAUGUGUCAUACGGGACUGCCGGUAUCAAGCCGGAGGAAGGUGGGGAUGACGUCAAGUCAGCAUGGCCUUUAUAUCCAGGGCUACACACACGCUACAAUGGUCGGUACAACGGGUUGCAAGACCGCAAGGUGGAGCCAAUCCUCAAAAUCGGCCUCAGUUCAGAUUGCAGGCUGCAACUCGCCUGCAUGAAGUCGGAGUUGCUAGUAACCGCGCGUCAGCAUUAGUGCGGUGAAUACGUUCCCGGGCG